UCCUGUUGAAGAGCAAAGAGUCGCGCGAUGUCAAGCAAACUGCUCAAGGCUGGCGCAGCGGGUGCUGCCGCUUAUGCAGGUUGGAAGUAUU
rnacentral:SRP_RNA from 12 species